CCUACGGGGGACAGCAGUGGGGAAUAUUGGACAAUGGGGGAAACCCUGAUCCAGCGACGCCGCGUGAGUGAAGAAGUAUUUCGGUGCGUAAAGCUCUAUCAGCAGGAAAGAAAAUGACGGUACCUGACUAAGAAGCCCCGGCUAACUACGUGCCAGCAGCCGCGGUAAUACGUAGGGGGCAAGCGUUAUCCGGAUUUACUGGGUGUAAAGGGAGCGUAGACGGCAGCGCAAGUCUGGAGUGAAAUGCCCGGGCCCAACCCCGGAACUGCUCUGGAAACUGUGAAGCUGGAGUGCAGGAGAGGUAAGCGGAAUUCCUGGUGUAGCGGUGAAAUGCGUAGAUAUCAGGAGGAACACCGGCGGCGAAGGCGGCUUACUGGACUGUAACUGACGUUGAGGCUCGAAGGCGUGGGGAGCAAACAGGAUUAGAUACCCUGGUAGUC
rnacentral:rRNA from 1 species